GUAGGUGAACCUGCGGAAGGAUCAUUACUGAGGUUUUUUCCCUGGCGCAAGCUGGGAGACACCCGACCUAUUGUCAUUUGCACGUCUGGGGAAGAACGGGAGCGUGCGGCGUUUUGUGGCUUGACUGGGAUCGACCCGAGAGGGUGGAACCGGGACGGCGCGGGCGCUGCGGCUGCUGCCCUGACGAACGAGAACUUCGGCGGAAGAGGUAGACUUGGAUCUGCCCGCCGCCGGCCGUAACGUAUUUUACUCUUGCAACGAGAAUCUGAAGCCUGAUGUACUUUAAAAAAGAAAUGAAAAGCAAAACUUUCAACAACGGAUCUCUUGGCUCUG
rnacentral:misc_RNA from 1 species